rnacentral:lncRNA from 1 species
ACCAUUCAUAUAGCAAUAUUACGUGUUGAUCAAGCGCAUCCAUCUCUGAUUUUAUUUUUCCACAUUGAGAUUUGAUUUAGUGAGAUAUUCAUUAUGGGUCUGAUGGCAAAGGAAUUGAGGUACAUGCAUAACUGGGGCGAGGUGGCCCCAGCACUUGUUAUACCUCACGAGAAGCCCUCCAAUAAUAUUUCGAAAUUGGAGACCAUUGCCGAAGAAGGAUCCGAGAGCUUUGAGAUUUUGCCAAAUGGAGUGGUGUUUCUCUUUCCAGUGUUUCUUUCUUUUUUGACUUAUUACUUCAUGUUGUAUAGACAGAUUGUUUGAUUUGUUCAUGGGACGUUGAUCUCAUGUAGAUGAUCAUGAAAAAGAGGCAAAAUUGUAUGUCGAGUAGAUUGUAUUUA